rnacentral:rRNA from 1 species
UGAGUAACACGUAUCUAACCUGCCGUCUACUCUUGGACAGCCUUCUGAAAGGAAGAUUAAUACAAGAUGGCAUCAUGAGUCCACAUGUUCACAUGAUUAAAGGUAUUCCGGUAGACGAUGGGGAUGCGUUCCAUUAGAUAGUAGGCGGGGUAACGGCCCACCAAGACUACGAUGGAUAGGGGUUCUGAGAGGAAGGUCCCCCACAUUGGAACUGAGACACGGUCCAA